rnacentral:tRNA from 1 species
GGGUAUAGCUAAGUGGUAGAGUGCAUGCUUAGCAUGCAUGAGGUCCUGGGUUCAAUCCCCACUACCUCCA